rnacentral:ncRNA from 1 species
UUUGUCUCAGAGCAAACCAUCUGAAAAGGUGGGACGCAAAGCCGCGGGCCUAAUGUUUGUAAAAACUAUGGCAGCCGGGUUGCCAAA